GACGAACGCUGGCGGCGUGCUUAACACAUGCAAGUCGAGCGGAAAGGCCCUUUCGGGGGUACUCGAGCGGCGAACGGGUGAGUAACACGUGAGUAAUCUGCCCUGGACUCUGGGAUAGCCACCGGAAACGGUGAUUAAUACCGGAUAUGACACCUUGCUGCAUGGUGGGGUGGGGAAAGUUUUUUCGGUCCAGGAUGUGCUCGCGGCCGAUCAGCUUGUUGGUGAGGUAAUGGCUCACCAAGGCUUUGACGGGUAGCCGGCCUGAGAGGGUGGCCGGUCACACUGGGACUGAGACACGGCCCAGACUCCUACGGGAGGCAUCAGUGGGGAAUAUUGGACAAUGGGCGGAAGCCUGAUCCAGCAACGCCGCGUGAGGGAUGACGGCCUUCGGGUUGUAAACCUCUUUCAGUACCGACGAAGCGUGAGUGACGGUAGGUACAGAAGAAGGACCGGCCAACUACGUGCCAGCCGCCGCAGUAAAAC
rnacentral:rRNA from 1 species